AUGGUAAGGGGCGGAAUGUCGUUGCGCGGGGAUGCGAUUAGCCAAGCUGGGGCAAACAAAGUCGUCCGGCCCCCUACCGGAUUAGGAAAGCGAAGGCCUUUCCUUCGAAAGGAGACCGGAGAAUUAAAUGCAGAAAUACGGGAAGAGUUCCAAACCGGUUUAAGGGCUGCUCGCCCUACCGAAGUACUAAAGGCUUUCGAGGCUUACACCUCCCUAUUACACGACCUAAAAAAAGGUAGCUUGCUGUAG